rnacentral:tRNA from 1 species
GGAGAGGUCGCAUAGCGGCCGAGUGCGCGCGCUUGGAAAGCGCGUAAUCCGAAAGGAUUCGUGGGUUCAAAUCCCACCCUCUCCGCCA